CCUACGGGAGGCAGCAGUGGGGAAUAUUGCACAAUGGGGGAAACCCUGAUGCAGCGCCGCCGCGUGAGCGAGGAAGUAUUUCGGUAUGUAACGCUCUAUCAGCAGGGACGAAAAAAGACGGUACCUGACUAAGAAGCCCCGGCUAACUACGUGCCAGCAGCCGCGGUAAUACGUAGGGGGCAAGCGUUAUCCGGAUUUAAUGGGGGGAAAGGGAGCGUAAGCGGCAAGGCAAGCCAGAAGUGAAAGGGAAGGGCUGAACCCUGUACAUGCUUUUGUGACUGUGGGGCUAGAGGGCAGGAGAGGUAAGUGGAAUUCCUAGUGUAGCGGUGAAAUGCGUAGAUAUUAGGAGGAACACCAGUGGCGAAGGCGGCUUACUGGACUGUAACUGACGUUGAGGCUCGAAAGCGUGGGGAGCAAACAGGAUUAGAUACCCCUGUAGUC
rnacentral:rRNA from 1 species